rnacentral:rRNA from 1 species
CAGCAGUCGCCGCGGGAAUACGUAGGUGGCAAGCGUUGUCCGGAAUUAUUGGGCGUAAAGGGCUCGCAGGCGGUUUCUUAAGUCUGAUGUGAAAGCCCCUGGCUCAACCGGGGAGGGUCAUUGGAAACUGGGAAACUUGAGUGCAGAAGAGGAGAGUGGAAUUCCACGUGUAGCGGUGAAAUGCGUAGAGAUGUGGAGGAACACCAGUGGCGAAGGCGACUCUCUGGUCUGUAACUGACGCUGAGGAGCGAAAGCGUGGGGAGCGAACAGGAUUAGAUACCCCAGUAGUCCCUGUCUCUUAUAC